CCUACGGGGGGCAGCAGUGAGGAAUAUUGGUCAAUGGACGAGAGUCUGAACCAGCCAAGUAGCGUGAAGGAUGACUGCCCUAUGGGUUGUAAACUUCUUUUAUAUGGGAAUAAAAUGUUCCACGUGUGGGAUUUUGUAUGUACCAUAUGAAUAAGGAUCGGCUAACUCCGUGCCAGCAGCCGCGGUAAUACGGGGGAUCCGAGCGUUAUCCGGAUUUAUUGGGUUUAAAGGGAGCGUAGGUGGAUUGUUCAGUCAGUUGUUAAAGUUUGCGGGUCAACCGUAAAAUUGCAGUUGAAACUGGCAGUGUUGAGUACAGUAGAGGUGGGCGGAAUUCGUGGUGUAGCGGUGAAAUGCUUAGAUAUCACGAAGAACUCCGAUUGCGAAGGCAGCUCACUGGACUGCAACUGACACUGAGGCUCGAAAGUGUGGGUAUCAAACAGGAUUAGAUACCCCUGUAGUC
rnacentral:rRNA from 1 species